CUGAAAUUCCAUCCGGGAAGAGCCGGAGCAUCCCUGAAUCCCAAAUCCGCAAUUGCAGGAUCCCAAUCCCCGCUCACAUUCCAGGUUUGGUUUUUCCAGCCCGUUCCGGUUUCCCGGCGGUGCCGUGAGCGCGGAGCCGAUAUUGGAUCCAUCCAUAACCCUGACAGGAGCGGGAUUUGGGAUUUGGGAUUUGGGAUUUGGGAUUUGGGGUUUGGGAUCGGCAACGGGGCCGUGACGCAGAGCAGGGGUUGGAUUGGUUUUAUUCCCAUUUAUUGCCCCUUUUUAUUGGGAUUUUAGAUGGCUUUAUUUCCUUUUAUUCCCCAUUUUCUCUGGGAUUCAGGAUCAUGACUGAGGGGCUUGCAUGGUUUUAUUCCCUUUUAUUGCCCGUUUUUAUUGGGAUUUGGGAUUUUAGAUGGCUUUAUUUCCUUUUAUUGCCCGUUUUCUCUGGGAUUCAGGAUCCCGACUGAAGCCUUUGCAUGGUUUUAUUUCUUUUUAUUGCCUGUUUUCCCUGGGAUUUGGGAUUUUAGAUGGUUUAUUCCCCAUUUUCUCUGGGAUUCAGGAUCCUGGCUAAAGCUUUUGGAUGGUUUUAUUCCCUUUUAUUCCCCAUUUUCUCUGGGAUUUGGGGUCUUGGAUGGCUUUAUUUCCUUUUAUUGCCCGUUUUUAUUGGGAUUUGGGAUUUUAGAUGGCUUUAUUUCCUUUUAUUACCCAUUUUUAUUGGGAUUUGGGAUUUUAGAUGGUUUUAUUCCCUUUUAUUCCCCAUUUUCUCUGGGAUUCAGGAUCCUGACUGAAGCCUUUGCAUGCUUUUAUUCCCUUUUAUUGCCCGUUUUCCUUGGGAUUCGGGAUAUUGGAUGGCUUUAUUUCCUUUUAUUGCCUGUUUUCCUUGGGAUUUGGGAUUUUAGAUGGUUUUAUUCCCCAUUUUCCUUGGGAUUUGGGGUCUUGGAUGGCUUUAUUUCCUUUUAUUGCCCGUUUUUAUUGGGAUUUGGGAUUUUAGAUGGCUUUAUUUCCUUUUAUUCCCCAUUUUCUCUGGGAUUCAGGAUCCUGACUGAAGCCUUUGGAUGGUUUUAUUUCCUUUUAUUCACCGUUUUCCUUGGGAUUUGGGAUAUUGGAUGGCUUUAUUUCCUUUUAUUGCCUGUUUUCCUUGGGAUUUGGGAUUUUAGAUGGUUUUAUUCCUCAUUUUCUCUGGAAUUCAGGAUCCUGGCUAAAGCCUUUGGAUGGUUUUAUUCCCUUCCAGAAUUCCCCAUUUUCUCUGGGAUUUGGGAUCUUGGAUGGCUUUAUUCCCUUUAUUCCUUUUUAUUUUAUUCCCUUUUAUUUUAUUCCCUUUUAUUUUAUUCCCUUUUAUUCCCCAUUUUCUCUGGCAUUUGGAUUUUAGAUGAUUUAAUUCCCUUCUAUUCCCCAUUUUCUCUGGGAUUCAGAAUCCUGACUAAAGCCU
rnacentral:lncRNA from 1 species